rnacentral:rRNA from 1 species
CACUUUCAACAACGGAUCUCUUGGCUCUCGCAUCGAUGAAGAACGUAGCGAAGUGCGAUAAGUAAUGUGAAUUGCAGUAUUCCGUGAAUCAUCGAAUCUUUGAACGCAAAUUGCACUCUCUGGUAUUCCGGAGAGUAUGCCUGUUUGAGGGUCAAUUAAAUAAAAAUCGGGGUUGUUGCUG